UGUGCCUGAGAGAAUUAAGGUCUCCAUCAACAUGUUUGAAGGCUGUAUGGUGCAGAUACAACUGUGCCGAUUUUAAAAUAUGAUAAGUUGAUUCUAACAUUCUUCCAGAAGAGAAAAAGUGUGAGAAUGUCAAAGAAUAUUUCGAACAAGAGAAAGAUAGGAGACUUGUCCUACCAGAUACAAAAACAUAUUAGAAAUCAACAAUAGUUGGAAAGUUCUGACAUUAGCCAAGGCAAGACAAACGGCUCACCAAGCGGCUAUGGAUCCAUACGAAGAAGUAUUUGAGGGAGAAAGGAUGGCCUUUUUAUAAUUGUGGAGUGGGGACACCUUUUUAGCAAGGCAAAAUUUCCAGGCCAUAAUGGAAGAGACUGGCGGACUUGAUAGCAUAAAAAUUUGAAAUAGUUGUAGAGAGAAAGAUAACAAAGUCAAGAAAAGAAAUUUAAAAAAACUUGUCAUAUAGAUACCUGAUAAAACUAUUUGUUGGUACCUAUCCAAAGAAAGACUUUGCAAACUCUUGGACUCAAGAUUCCAAUUCUAAAACCCACAUCGUAGAAGUCCCCACAGAGGCACAUAUAGUUACAUGUUCCAGGAUGUUCAUUUCAGCAUUGUUUGUCGUAGGAAAAAAAUAAGAAACUUAAAUGUCUACGAAAAGAAAAUUAGUCAAAUAAAUUGUAACACAUCCAAACUACAGAAUACUCUUCAUAAAGUAAAAGGAAUGAAGGCCUGGUAUAGAAAAAUUCCUAGGUUAAGUCAGAACAAGGAACAAGAACAAGGCUGUUGUUCUGCAUUUAAAAAAAUCUAUUUGAAUAUAGGUAUAUAUGUAAAUAGAAACUGGUCCUGGAGGAUCUCCAAUGAACUGUGAAUAAGAGUUACCCCUGGGAAGGGGAGUGGAAUGGGUGGAAAUAGGAUUUUCAAGUUUUAUUCUUCAUGCCUCCUUAUUGUUCGGAUGUUUAAUUUGAACAUGUAAUCACUGUGUAAUUUUAAAAAUGUAAACAACGAGGAAGCAAGGCUCCUCAUCCCCAGGGACGAAGAAUAAGGACUUUGCACAUCCAUCUAAGCUGGGGAGUCAGACGAGCCGGGAGGCCACCCAGCCACUAAGGGACAGAAAACAGAUGUGGAGGAACCGUGAGCCACGUGCACUCACCAAUCCCCUGGUGCUCAGCUCCAAGCAGAGACUGUGGGUCGACUGCACAGGGCAAAUGAGGGUUUUCUCUUCACUUGAACAAAAGAAAUCAAGAAUGUGGAAGAGGCAGAUGUGACAGCCAUAAAAUGAUGUAUCACCCACAGAUCUGAAGCCGUGGAAAUGGCAACUCAGCCCUGUUCUAACUCAACUCAGCUCAGCAGCAGCAGUGUUAGGAUGCGUAGGUAGAGAGACAUCUCUGCUAUCCCGGUAGGGCACUCAGGCCUGCCUGCAUGGAGGCAGCCUGUUGGGAGGUCUGGCCUCCAGACCUCUACUAGUUCUGAGCUUGUGAGCUGAGAAAGGGCCAAGCUGCAAAUACAAGUCUUUCUUACCUGCAAGGAGCUGGGAAACCCGACAACACACACUUUCCCUGCCUCUUUCACUUUCACUGGCAUCAGAGCCUAAACACGCUGGGAAUUUGAACAGAGGUCUCUCUCUUCAGCUCCAGCCCCCAGGGUGGGUGGGACACUCCGUUUCUCAGCUAUCAGCCCCCGUGUGGGAGAUGGAGGGGUGGGCUUGGAAUUAACCGCCAGGAGAUCUGGAUUGUCAACAGAACAUGCAGGAAGCUGGUUCUAAGCCGUGCAUGUGAAUUAAGGGGACAGAAAUACUCCUUCAGUCUUCAGUAUUUGGGGUGGCUUCCAUAAAGCAGUUGCAGGAAAAAUCACGGACCUGGAUGCCAUGUAAGUCCUAAGCCCUCCUGGAGUGAUUUCCUACUGGAUCAUGUAAGAGGUAAGAGAUCUGCACUCCUGUAUCGAGUUCUUUUUGCCAAUUUGUCUCAAUCACAUUAUUAUCAUUAAUAAUAAUAAUAACACAUAUUUUGUACUUACUACACAUCAGGUGCAAUUUAAAGUAUUUCCAUGUAUCGUCUCACCUACCUAAUUCUCACAACGGCUCUGUGGGCUGGGGCACGAUUACUCUCAUUUCACAGAUGGAGAAACUGAGGCACAGUCAGUUUAAGCCACUCUCCAGGUUCACACGGAUGGCAGGUGGUGAUGCUGGUUCUCCUCUAGAUGACCUGACUCCAGGGCUUCCUCUGCACUGUGCAUGGAACCCUCGGCAGCCUCCUCAGAUGUCACGGGGUCUGUGGACUAAAUGAGGGGGACACGGGUUCGAGCCCUGGUCGGGGAAGAUCACACAUGCCGCGGAGCAACUAAGACCAUGCGCCACAACUGCUGAACCUGUGCUCUAGAGCCCGCGAGCCACAACUACUGAGCCCACGUGUUACAACUACUGAAGCCCGUGCGCCUAGAGCCCGUGCUCCACAAGAGAAGCCACUGCAAUGAGAAGCCUGUGCACUGCAAUGAAGAGUAGCCCCCGCUCGCCGCAACUGGAGAAAGCCCGCGCGCAGCAACAAAGACCCAAUGCAGCCAAAAAUAAAUAAAUAAAAUAAAUUUAAAAAAAAAUCCUGCUAUGAAUACUUGUGUACAAUUUUUUGCACAAACGUUUGUUAUUAUUUCUCUUGGAAGUGGAUUUGCUGGCCCACAUGACAAAUUUGUAUUAACUUAAGAAACUGCCAAACUUUUCCAAAGUAGUUGUACCAUUUUACCUUUCCACCAACAAUGUAGUUUCCAAUUUUUUCCAUAUCUUGCCAAUAUUUGGUGUUAUCUUUUUGAUUAUAGUCAUUCUAGUGUGUAAUAGUAUCUCUUUGUAGUUUUAACUUGCAUUUCUCUGAUGACUAAUGAGGUCGAAUACGUUUUCAUGAGUUUAGAUAUUUGAAUGUCUCUCUUGAUGCAAUGUCAAGUCUUUCACCAUUUUAAAAUUAUGCUUUUGGAUUUCUUAUUUUGGGGUUGUGUUCUUUAUACUUAUGGAUACACAUCUUUUAUUAUAUAUGAUUGGCAAAUAUUUUCUCACAGUCUGUGACUUGUCUUCAUUUCUUUCAAGCUGUCUUUUGAAGAACAAAUUAAACAAUGAGUUAAUGAAGCUUAAUUUACCAAUUUUUCCUUUUAUGGCUUACGCUUUUGGUAUUGUAUCUAUGUUUGCCUAACCAGAGAUUUAAAAUAUCUCCUCCUGUGCUUUCUCUUAGACGUUUUGUAGUUUUAAGCUUUAUAUUUAGGCCUGUGGUCCACGUGUCCUAACCUGACUCAAAGCCCCACUUUUCCUGAGCUAGAGCCUCCUGUGGACAACAGAAAGGGAGCCAUUGUGGGUGGCUUCUUUCUCCCCUGGGGGCAACUGUUGAGUGGAAACCAGCUCAAAAGGUUUCCAUGCUGCUCACCCAGCCACUGCCUUUCUAAACAGAGGUCCGUUGAUAGAGCACUUCAGAACCCUCUCUCUCUGUUUCUAAAACAGCAAUUUGUAACCUGCUUGAGGUUUGAGAUGACUGUUGUUUCUCAACAUCUUGCUUGCUUCAUACAAAUUUACUGCUUCCAGUAGAUAUUUUCUGUGGUGUAUAUUACCAGAUUGUGGUCACUGUAUAGCUUUAAUAUAAAGACUCUAUUUUUGGUUCGUGUUGAUGUGUUUCAAGGAUUGAAGUUAAAUAAUGUGUGAGCAUUAAAUAAUGUUAAUAAAGUUAAAUAAUGUCCACCAUC